GCCAAAGUGGCGAAACUGGUAGACGCGCUGGACUCAAAAUCCAGUGGGCUAAUCCCCGUGUGGGUUCGAGUCCCACCUUUGGUA
rnacentral:tRNA from 1 species